CCUACGGGCGGCAGCAGUGGGGAAUAUUGGGCAAUGGGCGCAAGCCCGACCCAGCAACGCCGCGUGAAGGAAGAAGGCCCUCGGGUUGUAAACUUCUUUUGUCAGGGACGAAACAAAUGACGGUACCUGACGAAUAAGCCACGGCUAACUACGUGCCAGCAGCCGCGGUAAUACGUAGGUGGCAAGCGUUAUCCGGAUUUACUGGGUGUACAGGGCGUGUAGGCGGGAGAGCAAGUCAGAGGUGAAAUUCCAGGGCUCAACCCUGGAACUGCAUUUGACACUGUUUUUCUUGAGUGAUGGAGAGGCAGGCGGAAUGCGGUGUGUAGCGGUGAAAUGCGUAGAUAUACGGAGGAACACCAGUGGCGAAGGCGGCCUGCUGGACAUUAACUGACGCUGAGGCGCGAAAGCGUGGGGAGCAAACAGGAUUAGAUACCCGAGUAGUC
rnacentral:rRNA from 1 species